UACGUAGGGGGCAAGCGUUAUCCGGAUUUACUGGGUGUAAAGGGAGCGUAGACGGUAUGGCAAGUCUGAAGUGAAAGCCCAGGGCUUAACCCUGGGACUGCUUUGGAAACUGUUAGACUAGAGUGCAGGAGAGGUAAGUGGAAUUCCUAGUGUAGCGGUGAAAUGCGUAGAUAUUAGGAGGAACACCAGUGGCGAAGGCGGCUUACUGGACAGUAACUGACGUUGAGGCUCGAAAGCGUGGGGAGCAAACAGG
rnacentral:rRNA from 1 species